AUUGAACGCUGGCGGCAUGCCUUACACAUGCAAGUCGAACGGUAACGCGGGGGCAACCCUGGCGACGAGUGGCGAACGGGUGAGUAAUACAUCGGAACAUAUCCAGUAGCGGGGGAUAACCUAUCGAAAGAUUGGCUAAUACCGCAUACGAUCUACGGAUGAAAGCGGGGGACCGCAAGGCCUCGCACUAUUGGAGUGGCCGAUGUCAGAUUAGCUAGUUGGUGGGGUAAAAGCCUACCAAGGCGACGAUCUGUAGCUGGUCUGAGAGGACGAGCAGCCACACUGGAACUGAGACACGGUCCAGACUCCUACAGGAGGCAGCAGUGGGGAAUUUUGGACAAUGGGCGCAAGCCUGAUCCAGCCAUGCCGCGUGAGUGAAGAAGGCCUUCGGGUUGUAAAGCUCUUUCGGUGAAGACGAAACGGUUCGCGUUAAUAGCGCUGACUAAUGACGGUACUCACAGAAGAAGCACCGGCUAACUACGUGCCAGCCGCCGCAGUAA
rnacentral:rRNA from 1 species